AACGAACGCUGGCGGCAUGCCUAACACAUGCAAGUCGAGCGGGGACUUCGGUUCUAGCGGCUGCCGGGUGAGUGACGCGGGGGAAUGUGCCCUUCUCUACGGCAUCGCCCUGGGAAACUGGGAGUGAUACCGUAUACGCACUAUUGGGGGAAGAUUUAUCGGAGAAGGAUCAGGCCGCGUUGGUUUAGGUAGUUGGUGGGGUACUGGCCUACCGCGCCGACGAUCCGUAGCUGGUUGGAGAGGAUGAUCAGCCACACCGGGACUGAGACACGGCCCAGACUCCGACGCGAGGGAGGAGUGGGGAAUCUUAGACAAGGGAGGCAACUCUGAUCAAGCCAUGCCGCGUGAGUGAGGAAGGCCUUAGUGUUGUAAAGCUCUUUCAGCUGGGAAGAUAAUGACGGUACCAGCAGAAGAAGCACCGGCUAACUACGUG
rnacentral:rRNA from 1 species